rnacentral:rRNA from 1 species
ACAUGCAAGUCGGACGGCAGCACAAAGAAGCUUGCUUCUUGGGUGGCGAGUGGCGAACGGGUGAGUAACGCAUCGGAACGUACCGAGUAGUGGGGGAUAACUGUCCGAAAGGAUGGCUAAUACCGCAUACGCUUUGAGAAGGAAAGCGGGGGAUCUUCGGACCUCGCGCUAUUCGAGCGGCCGAUGUCUGAUUAGCUGGUUGGUGGGGUAAAGGCCUACCAAGGCGACGAUCAGUAGCGGGUCUGAGAGGAUGAUCCGCCACACUGGGACUGAGACACGGCCCAGACUCCUACGGGAGGCAGCAGUGGGGAAUUUUGGACAAUGGGCGCAAGCCUGAUCCAGCCAUGCCGCGUGUCUGAAGAAGGCCUUCGGGUUGUAAAGGACUUUUGUCAGGGAAGAAAAGCUUGAGGCUAAUACCCUUGAGUGAUGACGGUACCUGAAGAAUAAGCACCGGCUAACUACGU